CAGGAAGUCUUGAGAAGUGAAAAGCCACAGCCUGAUUGUGGAGGCCAAGAAGUCCCACAGUCUCCCGCUCUGCUGUCUAUACACUGGAGAACCAGGAAAACAGGUGGUAUAAUUCAGGAAAGUCCAAAGCAGGGGAGGAGGCUCACUGCUAAGUCCCAGAGCCUGAAGGACGAAGAACCAGGAACUCCAAUGAUGUCCAAAGGCAGGACUUGUCUGAUCUCCUAUCAACAAAAACUUAAUGGGUGCAGUAGGAGCUUCAGGGAGCUGUGAGCAGUGACCUGCUGACAUCAAGGGUGAGAAACUACCCUGACCCUUGCAAGACUUUGGAAAUGGAAUUAAUCAUCCACCUCAUGAAGCCCAUAAUUUCCUGAGCUUUAAUUUUUACCAGAUCCUCUCCCUCUCUGUGUCUCUCUCUGCCUAUGUUAUUUGCCCCUCUCUACUUAUGUAAAUUUAUCUCUAUUUCUAGUCUCUUGUGUAGCUUUCUCUCUGUAUCUGCAGGUCUCUGUCUCCCUCUGUGAACAUCUCCCUGUUUCUGCUUCUUACCCUAGAAUGACUGGAAUAAGAGAAUCUGAG
rnacentral:lncRNA from 10 species